rnacentral:rRNA from 1 species
UACGGGGGGGGCAAGCGUUGUUCGGAAUUACUGGGCGUAAAGGGCUCGUAGGCGGCCAACUAAGUCGGACGUGAAAUCCCCAGGCUCAACCUGGGAACUGCGUCCGAUACUGGAUGGCUUGAAUUCGGGAGAGGGAUGCAGAAUUCCAGGUGUAGCGGUGAAAUGCGUAGAUAUUGGGAGGAACACCAGUGGCGAAGGCGGCUCACUGGACCGGAACUGACGCUGAGGCGCGAAAGCGUGGGGAGCAAACAGG